AGGCUUUUUAGUCUCCUCCAUGGAUGAACAACCUGAUUGAUUAUCUAUUACCAAAUGGUCAGCCCUAAAAACAUACCUUCAGGCAACACUAAAGAUACUCAACAUGCUGUAUUGGUUUGGUUCAUGAGUCUAUUUCCAGAUUCCUGGGAGACUUAACCAUGUCUUAAUGGAAACUUCCUUGGAGCUCCUAAUGUGUAAGUUCUAAGCCACAAUAUUUUGAAGCAAAAGAGUCACUUAUUUGUUCACCAAGGGCAAGAUGAUUUAUGUAGAGCGAGUUGUAAUAAACACUGUUUCAUUUAUCUUCUAUCAUUGCUGUAACUCCUAGAGGGAGUUGAUUCAAAUGCCAAACAAAAAGAAAAACAAAAAGCAAAAAUUAAUCACACCAUGACCCAAUGAAUCACAAUUGUUUAGAAAGUUUGAUGGUUCAAACUGGGACACCAGACUUGCUGGGGACUGUGGAUCUGAAGAGAUCAUGGGAGAAAACACCUGAAUAUGAGCAUCUUGGAGUUGAAAAUAAUUGUGCCGGUGGUAGUCGAGGUAGGGAUUGACACCUACAGGCUGUGUGACUAACAGGGUUUUGCCUUCCCAUAGGCAUCCAUCUGGAACCCUCUCACUUUCAUACCUAAGAAUGUCCCACCAGAAAAAGAACUGAAAGUACAACAUUUAAUGGAAAUGGCAGUGUUGUUCCCUUGGAUAAUGACUUCCUCAUCUGAGUUAAUUUUAACAAACACCUUAAUUUAUAAAGAGCUAUAAAUACAAUUCCAUCAGUGGAGGUAGCGAUGAUAUCUGAAGAGAGAUGCUGUGGUGAGAAUUGGUAUUCUGACCUUCACUGGACACCUCCAGAACCCCAAAGAGUCUUUUCUUCAUAAGCCAAAUCCUAGAAGCCAUGUCCUCUAUAACAGCAGAAGUGCAGCAGGCCAAGAUGAUAGAAACUGAAGAAGCAUGUUGAAUGCCACAUGCCCUGGCUUUUGCUGCUAGGAAACUGGGAACAGCAGGAAGCCAUGUUGCAUCACAUUCACACUUGAAACAAAACAGGAAGAAGUUCUACCGCCUCGAAGCACGUAUAAACAAGCAGAGACAACUCUUCUACUCUCUUCAGUGUCCUGCGUCUAUACAACCCAAGACAAUGGCUCCCCUCGGAGUACUGUGAGUCCUCUGUACUGAAUAAUGCCUCUUCAUUUUGGGAACUACCUGCUCCCCCAGGAGACCCAAGGCUCUCCAAGGUGAUGAAUCCACUAGAAGAACGAAAUGAAUCCAAGCCACGAGGAGUUGCAAAAAUCCCAGGAUGCCUGUCACCCUGUGCUCUCACUUUUAUUACAGAAGAAGCUCUGCUAAAAUAAAGGCCCAGCCCUGAUAUAUCAUUCUCUAAUGCCACAAGAACUGUAUAUAAAACACUAUGAAUCUUUUAA